UGGGAAUCUUCCACAAUGGGCGCAAGCCUGAUGGAGCAACGCCGCGUGAGUGAUGAAGGCCUUCGGGUUGUAAAACUCUGUCUUCUGUGACGAACAAGUGCGUGAGUGGAAAGCUCGCACCCUGACGGUAACAGAGGAGGAAGCCACGGCUAACUACGUGCCAGCAGCCGCGGUAAUACGUAGGUGGCAAGCGUUGUCCGGAAUCACUGGGCGUAAAGCGCGCGCAGGCGGCGAUCUACGUCUGGGGUGAAAGCCCGGAGCUCAACUCCGGGACUGCCUUGGAUACGGGAUUGCUUGAGGACUGGAGAGGCAAGGGGAAUUCCACGUGUAGCGGUGAAAUGCGUAGAUAUGUGGAGGAACACCUGUGGCGAAGGCGCCUUGCUGGCCAAUUUCUGACGCUGAGGCGCGAAAGCGUGGGGAGCAAACAGGAUUAGAUACCCUGGUAGUCCACGCCGUAAACGAUGAGUGCUAGGUGUUCGGGGGG
rnacentral:rRNA from 1 species